rnacentral:rRNA from 1 species
UACGGAGGGUGCAAGCGUUGUCCGGAAUCACUGGGCGUAAAGGGCGCGUAGGCGGAUGGCACAGUCAGAUGUGAAAUUCCCGGGCUUAACCUGGGGGCUGCAUUUGAUACGUGUGAUCUAGAGUGAGGAAGAGGGUCGUGGAAUUCCCAGUGUAGAGGUGAAAUUCGUAGAUAUUGGGAAGAACACCGGUGGCGAAGGCGGCGACCUGGUCCUUGACUGACGCUGAGGCGCGAAAGCUAGGGGAGCAAACGGG